rnacentral:tRNA from 1 species
GGGCAGAUAGUCUAUGGCUAUGAUUCUCACUUCGAGUGCGAAUUAUCGCCGGUUCGAAUCCCGGUUCGGCCCG